CAAUUAUAUAUUGUACAAUGUUCGAGAAGUGAAAGGCCAGGUGGACAAGAAAGAUUCAAGAGACCAGCUGAAGAAUUUUACGUUAACGUUUAUCAUGAAAGUUGGAGCACAAUAGACCUAAGGUCGCGGUGCAUUCCUCAUUUAUUAAUCUUAUCAUGAAAGCUUCUCUUUUAAGACAUGAUUUUCCUCAUAUAGUGAGGAUAAUCGAGAAGGCAAAAGUUCUUCGAUAUUUCCUUUUCAAAUAUUUCCUUCAUCGCAAUGACAAUUUGGACCUCUAAAUACUACACUACGUUGAUUAUGACAUUGUACGAGUAUAUUCUUGUUUAUUGGCGUAGACAUCGCUUUCGCGAUUACAGCCGAUUAUAUAGUAUACGAGUAUAUAGCUAGUAGAAAUCGACAUCAUGAAUGUAAAAAGAAUUUAUAAAAGGCGGUUUGACUGAUUGGUCUUGUAACAACAUACAAGGAAAUUUCAACGAUUUAAAAUUUCCGAAAAGUGCUGAUUGCUCUUUUGAGUUUAGGUUAUAUACUAGUAAAUAAUAAAAAUUGAACAACUCGUCUAACAACCAUGUAUAUCACCCAAAAACGACAAUCAUAUCUCCGAUUAACGUAACAAUCUUGUACUUGAAAUGAAUUUUAUUUUAUGGUUUGUUAUCCGUUAUUAUUUAUCGUUAUCGACAUAAGAACUUCAAGCUGAUCCAUCUCUAAUACACAAAAGUUCAGAUUAUAUAUCCAAUUUUACGCUUUGAAAAGUUGUGAUCUUUACGAUUGUUUCAAACCUAUGUGGACAAUCAGAAAUUCUUAUACGGUCUGGUUAUUAGAUCCAUCUUGAGGUAUGAUGGAUCAUACUGAGACAUAUAAUUGUCCUAAAUUGAAUUCCCAAAACAAUUAACAAAUUCCUUCACUCAAAUCAGAGAUCUGUUCCUGGUAAUAUUCGACAUAGAUCUCAUCAACAUAUGGUAGAGUGUUCGCCUAUAAGAUAAUAUUCAAGAACAAAAAUCUGCCGAAUUACACAAUUAUUACAUUUAAAUAUAAAGCAGACUAAGAAACCUACAAAAACUUUCAACCAAAUGGAUGACUACGAAUACAACUUGAAACAGAAUGGUGCAUACUUGUCUAUGGACCAUUAACAGAAACCCGUAAAUCCGAACUUGUGCUGUUGUUUGUGUUGCAAGACCGGCAUUAUGGGAGUCUGUCAAUGUAAACAACGUGUUGAAGGAACCAAAAAACAAAAACCAAAGGACAAAUGGCUAAAAAAGAGAAAGUAAAGUAAGGUUUAUGCUCUGAUAGAAAUACAUAGCAUUUUCGGACCUUCAGUUAGUGGGCUGUGGGCGGGUUGGUUCCAGUAGUUUAACAUUUCUCUGGCAAAUUGAGGUAGUAGGUUGUAUAGUAGUAUUAACGGCAUGCUAUACAACGUGCUAGCUUUCUUUGCUUGACACCAAGCAGCGGUUUUGAGUGUGCAAAGAGCUGAAAACGUGAAAAAAGUAAAUACAUGAAAAGGAAACUCUCUACAAACUGUAGUUGUAGUUGAAAAGUGCUUAAAAAUAAUUCAAUAAAUUUUUGAAAUUUUUUUGCGUUAUUUGUAAUGAGCAGCAAAUAGUUUGUAUGUAAUGCUCGCAUAGUGUUGUUGUUUAAUUAUAAUAGAUACAUAUGUAUGCUAUAUAUAAUAGUUAAGUUGUUUUUGUUUUGCGUUAAGAUGUGUUUGUAUGGCUGAUUCCCUGAGACCCUAACUUGUGACUUUUAACAUCAGUUUCACAAGUUUUGAUCUCCGGUAUUGGCCGCAAACUUGCUGUUUUUGUGUGAAACUCGUAAUACCAUACCAGCAUUACCGUUCAUAACAUUUGCGUACAUACAUACAUCCUUCAUGUCAUCUAACCAAUGCAUAUACAUAACUAUAUAUGUAGGAGUGUGCUUGUAAUUGUUCAUUUGUUGAUUUAAGGUUGAGAAAGAUAAGAAUAAUAACACAGCCAGCGUAUAUUGCAAUAUUUGUUGAAUUUUUAGAACUUGUAUUUUAGAAACUGUAGCAUAGGUUUAGAUAAUACGAGUAUAAAAAAAUCAUCAAAAACGAAACAAAAAAUAUUGAAAAGUUGUUUCGCUAAUAAAAUGAAAAUAAUAUUUCAAUGGCUUAAGCAGUUGAUUGUUAGGGUAAUUUAUUAUUUGAAAAGUAAGAUUUUGGAAAUUUAUUUAAAUAAAUAUUAAAGACUAAUAAAAAUUGAGAAAAAAAUACUCAUAUUAUGAAUUACAACUCGACUAAGUUGAGUUGAAAUUGAAACAACUCAACCCUUUUUUGACAUCACGACAACUAAUUCCAAUUAUAGUGUAAAUUAAUGUAAUGUGAUAUAACGACAACAGUUCAACAUAAAAUUUUUGAAAAGUUGAGUUGUCGUGGAUAAAUGGUAAUGUGGAUAAAAGCAGUUGAAAUGGCAUUAUUAUGGAUACCUUCUGAGAGUAAAAGCAGGCUGACAGCUAGAUUGGCAACUGGAAUUUUAUAUGCAAAUAUCUUCAAAAAAGAAUAAUUGACUGAAUUCUGAAUAGAACAGUUUAAUGAUCUCCGUUUUGAUGAUCUUCGUUCUCUAUUGAAAUUGUAUGAAGAGCUAAAAAAUGUAUUUAUAUAUAACUCAUUGUAAUUCUAUAAGCAGUUUUUAUAAAACCACCGCAGUGGAAGAUGCAAGCAUCGUUGCUCAUCGUUACUAAGUAACACGACCAUAUUAAGAGCAAUAAAUAUUUAGCGAUCUCCAAUGAUCAAAAUAUUUGUUAACAAAUCGUUUAAUAGCCGUAUUUUAGUGAAAGCAAGGUAAAAGCUUUUCGAUUCAAAUAACUUAGCCAAAUAUAAAAAAUAUAUAUGUUUAACGAGUUAAUCGAGCUCAUUAAGUGACUCAUAUGACUCUAGUAACUUAUGCAUUUUAUAUGCUAACAUAAUAAUAAUAAUAGUCAUUUAAGUUAUAAGAAACAUGUCCACAUUAUGGUAGACAACCGUCCUACAAAGUAUAUGUGAGUAUACAUAUAUAAUCGAAAAAGUUGUAAUAUAAGAAUAUAUUUCAAUUUUAAAGAAGUGCUGUUAAUAGGAUUGCAGAAUUCAAUUUAUUUUCUAACCAAUACAAAUGUAAUUUUAAUGCUAAAUAUCAACAAUGGCAGCUGAAACGAAAAAUAUAAAAAGGUUUGCCUAGACGAAGGCGCACUGGCAUACUUGUAUGUGGCUGUAUUAAACAUAAAAUUUAUCACCCAAAAAAUGGUAUUAGACCUGGUAAGCAGCUACUGUUUGUCAGCCACUGGAUCCAAUUUGCUGUAUUUUAUCUAAUUACCAGUUUUUUUAUAUACUUAAUAUAUCCAAUAUCGCAAUUUGUAAAAACGAAUUUUUCAAAUACAAAUAAUUUCCUGUCUUCAAAAAUUUUUUUCAUUUUCAUUUUUUUUACAUGAAUUUUCAAGCAUUUCUUCAGGAUACACAUAUGAACUUAGUUCCUCUGAGAACAAAGGAAAUGAGAUGAAUGAUAAUCUAGCUAAUGAAGGGGCCCCAACCAAGCCGAUAGGAAUGGAGCCCUUUUCAAUGGGUCCGUAUAUACAGAAGAGCUCCAAUGGAAAGAAAAGAAAACUAAGGUUGAUUGCUGGCUGCAAAUAUCGCCAGACGAAGCUAUUUUUGGGACGAGGCAAUCACUAAAGGUGCAAACAGAUAAUAAUCCUUCUCAUAGACAAAGUAAGACAAACUGUAGCGUUGGUCACUGCAAAUUAAUUUAAACUCUGUAAUACAGGAUAACUAUACAUAUGUCAUAAUGCAUACUUCAUGCUAAAUUUAACUAUUUUUUAUAUUUAAAGUGAUGACUGGUUAGUCAGUUGCAUCUUUCCGUUGAGCAAACUCAGCUAUCUUUUUCCAAGCCGAGGUGAAGUUCUAUUGUGCAACAACAGGAGCAUACAGAAGGCGACCGUUCACACAGCCAGACAGGGGACACUACCAGUUUUGUCGUCGCCAAAGAUCAAAUCCAGCGUAAUAAACAAAGCGAGAAAGAAUUACAGCAGGUCAACUCGCCUUAUACAUAAUGUGGAUUGCCGGUCAUAGGAACAUUUUUGGCUAUGAAAAAGCAGACGAGUUCGCUAAGUCAGGAGAGUCCUUCUCUACAAAUCCGAGACAUAUUCCACUAAGAGCAAAAUAUAUAAUUCAAGCAACCAGUAGCCGUUGGGGGAAGCAGAGGAAAAGAAAAAUCUCUGUUGGGUGGACCGGGUGGAGGAGGACCUGGUAACACUUGGAAUCUCCAAUUGGCACCAAACAACGAAAAAUCGGUUGUAACCGCGUAAGAAGUCUAAGGAAGAAGAACACAAACAAAUGCCGGCUAGCGAAACAGAUUGCCACAUCUGUCACACAAGAACUAAGCACUUAUCACAUGGGCUUGGGAAAAGUACAUAAAGCAUUAUAGUUACCAGUCCGAGACAUUGACGAUUUGGAAUGGAAA